GCCUGGCUGAUCCCCUCUCUGUGCAGUGGCUCAAGUGGACUUAACGGCCAGGUUCUUGGUGGGGCUCAAGGUCAUUCCCCAGGCAUUGGCCUGUGCUGAGGUGACUGACUCCAGCCCCAGGGUUCCUGCUGAAACCCUGCCCCACCAUCUCCGGCCCCGUCAGUCAUUAAAGGUCUCACCUCUGCUGCUACCGUCACCAUCGGCCUUGGGCAGAUCAAGUUGUAUCCUGAAGGCAUCUGUCACUUCUGGAAUCCACUCCAGCCACGAGGAGGAGAGUCCCUCCAAUGCCUAUGAUAUGGACUCUUCAGGAGUUUUUAGUUUUAAAAGUGGGAAUCUGGAAGACUCAGUUCUUCAUGACUCCAAAAUAUUUAUUUCUUAA
rnacentral:lncRNA from 1 species